rnacentral:lncRNA from 1 species
CCACUUGAUAGAACCUGAAAUAUAGAAAAACGGAUGAGCUACACAGCUCAGCAAGUAACAAUUUGACUAACAAUUAAUCUCGAAAUCAGUGGAUGUUUUUAUAAAACCUUGUUCCUCAAAACAAUAACAAUUUUUAAAACACUUGUAAAAGAAAAUCCAACCCACAGUUUAUAUUUUAAAAGCAAACAGAAUUUAAAACAGAGCAGAAAUAAAAAUCUUAUAAAUACAGCAGUCUUACUCUACGGCCACACUUUCCCAGUGAUCGGGAUCUUAUUCUUAUUCUUUUGCCACAUUUACCCAGUGACCGGGAUCUAAAGUUCAAUAAUCACGCGCCCUUAAUAGGUAUCUGAAGUUGCACACUUGUGCGCCUACUAAGGGUUAAUAGGUAUCUGAAGUUGCACACUUGUGCGCCUACUAAGGGUAUCUAAGGCUAGUUCCGGAACUAUAGCGUAAAUUACGAACGAGUUCGAAACGUAGAGACUGGGUCUUCAAAGAUUCUCAUAUCUUAUAUCUUAUAAACUUCGAAACAAAAUUCUUAUAUCUUAUAACAAACAUCCGAAAUUCACAAAAUCAAAAUAUCUUUUCGAAAAUAAAAGUAAGUCAAAAAGUACUUAGCUCAAAGUCGACACAUAAAAUCCGAAAUUAAUAACACGAACAAAGCCUAUACAUUUAAUUAAUAAACAAAACAUAAUUAACACAGCACUUCUUAAACAAUCAGGAGCAAGGCACGUGGCAAGUCUUAACAAAAUUCAAACUUUAACAGCUAAUAACAAUUAACACAAUUUCAUUUAUCGAAUAAGAUAAAUAACAUACAUGUUGUCACAAAUCUCAAUAUUAACCAAAGAUAGCUUCUGAUUAUGAGAAAAUAAUCAACCGGAGAAUUAAAGUACAUUCAACAAGGAUUCCAAAAUGACCAUAUUCAUAAUAAACGGACAGAUAACGAAUUAGUUAUGAAUUUUGGAAAUUCAAGUAACAGAGCAGAAUUUUACUCAGGAGCAGUUUACAUUCAAAGCAGAUUUUCACGAAGCAAACAAACAGAUAUCAAUUAGACUAUAAAUAAACACUUAAAGAUCAUUCUCAGAGGUUUCAAAAUUGGUAAAGGUCACUAUUUCAUGACAAAUAACGAGGGAGAUAUGAAUUUUUAAACAUGGAACAACUCAGCAGAAAGUAUAAACAGCCCUGAAUCUUUGCAAGUCAGUUUAGACAAUUAAAUAAAUUUAAACAACAAAUGGGUAUGACUGGUAACGAAAGAAUAUAUCUCAAGAUUUCCAGAUUGGUAUCACGAGCAAAUUUUCGACAUACGAUCAAUUUAUAGUAAUUUUUGAACAUGGGAAAAAUUUUCGCGACUAAGAACUGAAGGAUAACAAAGAAUGUGAUUUUAAGCAUAAAUACACUGCUAAUUUCGAAAUACGUCCUGAGACAAAAGUUGUAGAUAACGAAAGGAGGUUUUCAGAAUGUCCAGAAUCAACAAAAUCCGAUCAAUUUUCAAUUUACUACGAAUUUUACAAACGGACUGAUUAUCAGAAAAUACUAUAUACGAAUUUCAGCAUAAACAAAUAGGCAAACAAGAUAUAUUCACAUCAAAUACACAUGACAAGGAACAACAAAUCAAUAUCUCAAGUCAACAUAUACUUGCAAAGAUCGAAGAUGAAGAAAACAUACCCGUCCACGUAAAUUACUGUACGACUUAUUCCGAUUCUAAAGGGAUUCUUAUAUAGCACAUAAAACCUAAUCAUAAAUGGGAAGUUUCAAACUUGGGUCAAAAUUUUCUCCACCUCAUAAACCAAUUUCCAAAUAUAAGGUUUUCUCACAAAGAUUUCGAUUUUCUAAAAUAAUUCUACGCUUUUUUUCCAUUAAUAAAGAAUCUUCUCUACUUUAUUAUUCAAAUAAACUACCACAAAAUAUAUUCUAGAAGCUUCCAAUUAAUACUAAUAUAUAAAUAUAUAAAUACAAACAAUCUAAAUCUAAUAUCCAACACAUAAUAACAAUACUAAUUAAAUAAAAUGUUUAAAUAAAUAAAUAAAAUCACAGGAUUUUACACUUGGUCAUUCACUAAAUUGUUCAUUAUAUCAUUGUCAAAUUUGCAUAAGCAUACCUAGUUCCAGGAAAUUAAGCUAUUGAUACCAAUAUCAACGCUUACUAUUUCCUCUUAACAUGGUCAUGCAGACUUUAUAUAGUACUGGUUUCUUCUAAAAUAUUGACGCUUCUUUGAUCAUGGUAAUAACCCUUCGUGUCUUCAUAAUCUCUUGCCUUUUAGGUGUUGAUAGUUGAGUUCAUUUUCAAAAACCUCGGUUUAGUCCUGAUGAUGCCCACAUACUCUAUCAAGGGGAUGCUGUACCUUCUGUUGGAGCAGCUUAACUGAUGAUUGAUCAACGGAUAUAAGUACUAGUGUCGUGUAGGGCAAGCCUUGCACGCUGAGACNCAAACUCUGGAGAGCUUACAGAUUUCACUUUUACCAUUGAUACCCAAUCUAGUCGCACUGUCUUGCAUUCUUUCUUGCUCCUAUCGGGCUCCCUCCCAACUCUGCAGGGGGUUAUCUAAAAAAAUUCAAGCAGAGACACGAAGGUCACAGUUAAUUUCUACAACAGUGUCCAUUGUAUUGUAUCUAUCUUUGACUAUAUUACUGGUUAGUCUGGAUUAGGCGAAAAAGACGGUUUGCCAGAAAAGAAGCGCAGCUCACAAUCUAACAUUGAAAGGGCAGGUCCCAGAAGAUUUUCCUAUCAGAAUAAUUUUGUUGCUUUUGGCUGUGUUUACAAGGGAUAUCUCACAGACCUUGAUAUGCCAAUUGCUGUGAAAAAUAUCUCUAGGGUGCCAUGAUCAGGGUCAGUUCCUACUUGCCUAUGAGUUCAUGACGAAUGGGAGUCUUGAUUCUCACCUGUUUGGCCAGAAGAGUCCUCUUGUUUGGGCUAUCAUAUAGAGUACGAAAUAUCACUUGGUAGUUGGUCAGUUGGUUUUGCAUCUGCCUUGCUGCAUCUUUCCUGAGGAGCGUGACUUUAUUAGUGACUAUUUUUUAAAAAUAAAAAGUGUUUUUUGAAGAAAAUAUAGUAUUUGAUUUCGGAUUUUUUUAAACACGGACACAGAGUCUAUUUUUCGUUUAUUCAAAAUACUUUAUUUCAUUUUAUUUAUUUUAUUAAAUUUAUACAAAAUGACGAUAUUACAACAAAAUACAACCUCCAUUGCAAUAAACAAAUUACAAAAGCCUACUGCUUCAUGUAUGUUGUAACUAAAACCAUCAGAUAGUCGAUCUCACAUCAAAGUAAUCAGUUGGUAAUUCCAACUUUUCAACAAAAAUCUUCAUUGGCAUUCACUUAUUAGGAAUUAAAACAAAAAACAGCAAAAAUGAAAAAAAAAACACCUUAAUAUUCAAAACACAACCAAAGAAAUAAAAUCAAUUUGUAUAAUUUUGAUGAAGAAAAAGAAGCCUCAGAUGGUCGAUGGGUUGACAUCAAGGUAUAUCAGUCGGUAAUUCCAACAUUAAUAUGUAAAUCCUCAUUGGCUCUAUUAAUCAAAUACAUUAAAUUUAAAAAAAAUGUAAUCGCAAAAAACGGCUCCAUGGACAUACGGAAAAAAUAGAAUCCACAGGUUCCUAUAGAAUGCGAAACACGUAAAUUAAUAUAGGUUCAAUCGUAGCAUCGUCGGUCAUUGCACUUUCGCUACCGUCGACGUGGCAUCGAACCUCGAUUUACAAAUAAAUAUUUAUCAAUACACAAAUAUAAAAAUGACGAGACUUACGCAGCAAGAACACUUGAUGGAUGUGGAUGAUAUGGAGAAGAGAAGUUAUGUUUGUGUUGAUGAGUGUGUUUGUAUUUAUAAGGAGGGGGAUUGAAACCCUAAUUUGGGUAGAUGGGCCGGGCUCGGUAUUUUUUGUGGCUAUGUGGAUUUAUGUGAUGACGACUGUGGGUGCGUGCAUUUAAUCGGGUUUCUUGUGUUGGCCUUUUGUUCGUAAAUGACGGAAAUUGAAAACAGGCCUGUCACUUGUCUCCGAAGGCCCGGCCCGAUUUUAUCCCUGUACUAUUUUCAUUUAAUUUU